rnacentral:rRNA from 1 species
GACGAACGUUGGCGGCGUGCUUAAUACAUGCAAGUCAACUGAAGCACCGGUAGCAAUACUGGUGUGGAGGUGGCGCACGGGUGAGUAACACGUAGGUAAUCUGCCUUCAGGUCUGACAUAACUCCGGGAAACCGAAGCUAAUAUCAGAUGAUGCAGCGGCUUGACAUCAAGACAGUUGUUAAAGCUUCGGCGCCUGAAGAUGAGCCUGCGCUGAUUAGCUAGUUGGCGGGUAACGGCCACCAAGCUGCGAUCAGUAGCUGGUCGUGAGGAGGAUGAUCAGUCACACUGGAACUGAGACACGGUCCAGACUCCUACGGGAGGCAGCAGUAAGGAAUAUUGCUCAAUAGGCCGAAAGGACUGAAGCAGCAACGCCGCGUGAGGGA